GUAGUCCACACAGUAAACUAUGGAUACUCGCUGCCGGCGAUACAUUGUCGGUGGCCUAGCGAAAGCAUUAAGUAUCCCACCUGGGGAGUACGCCGGCAACGGUGAAACUCAAAGGAAUUGACGGGGGCCCGCACAAGCGGAGGAACAUGUGGUUUAAUUCGAUGAUACGCGAGGAACCUUACCCGGGCUUGAACUACAGCGGAAUAUGGUGGAAACAUUAUAGCUAGCAAUAGCCGCUGUGGAGGUGCUGCAUGGUUGUCGUCAGCUCGUGCCGUGAGGUGUCGGCUUAAGUGCCAUAACGAGCGCAACCCUUGCUUUCAGUUACUAACAGAUAAUGCUGAGGACUCUGGAAGGACUGCCAUCGUAAGAUGCGA
rnacentral:rRNA from 1 species